GAUGAACGCUAGCGGCAGGCCUAAUACAUGCAAGUCGAGGGGUAUAGGGAGCUUGCUCCCUAGAGACCGGCGCACGGGUGCGUAACGCGUAUGCAACCUACCUAAACCUGGGGGAUAGCCCGGAGAAAUCCGGAUUAAUACCGCAUAAAAUCACAGUACGGCAUCGUACAAUGAUCAAACAUUCAUGGGGUUCAGAUGGGCAUGCGUGCCAUUAGCUAGUUGGCGGGGUAACGGCCCACCAAGGCUCCGAUGGCUAGGGGAUCUGAGAGGAUGGCCCCCCACACUGGUACUGAGCCACGAACCAGACUCCUACGGGAGGCAGCAGUAAGGAAUAUUGGUCAAUGGGCGCAAGCCUGAACCAGCCAUGCCGCGUGCAGGAAGACGGCCCUCUGGGUUGUAAACUGCUUUUAUUCGGGAAUAAACCACGUUACGUGUAACGUGCUGAAUGUACCGAAGGAAUAAGGAUCGGCUAACUCCGUGCCAGCCGCCGCCGUAAGAC
rnacentral:rRNA from 1 species